GCUAGUCGAUAUCUCACUCGAUCCCAAAUUCAGCACGGGAUUUCGAUCAAUUGCCUAAGCGAACGAGCGGCGACACCAGCUGAUCACGAAAGCUUGCUACAUUUUCCUUCGACGUAACAAAAUACCUGUCUUGUGUAAAAGCUUUACUACUUUAUAGUAGCCCUACGGUUCAUUGAGAAUGUAGAGCUUUGCUUCGGAGGAAAACAUCGCCGACAGAAACGUAAAGCCGCACAACUACGUGCGUGCUGGCAGAAGCCUGUCGUCUGCUAUAACAACAACAAAAAAUACAGAUCUGCUGAAAGAGUAUUUGACUUGCGCCGUAGCAAAAUGUUCUUUAAAAUAAGUUGGUAGUUUUAUUUUUAUACUAUUCUGCCUAAUAAUAUGCAUUCACUGUUUAAUUGAACUCUUCGAUGGUUUUGUUUUCUCUCUUUUUUAAAGAAAAGAAGAAUGUAAGUCAAAUCCAUCCACAGCCAAAGCCAAAUGCUAUCUUUCUUUGUGUUGUCACGCUCGGCGUCUCGUUACGUCCACUGGAACUUCAAGGCAAAAGCAUUAAUUUCGUGUGCGAAAGCGCCGUCCAUCGUUUGUGCAAUGUGUAAAGCUUGCGCGCAAUUCUCGUGGUUCUUGGAGCUUCGGUCAAGUACGAGCUGUUCAAGGAAUCGGCGGAAGACUCCGCAUGUGAUGGCCGACUCCCGUGGCUGCCUACUGCACCGCUGCAUGAAAGAAGCUAAAGAUUGACCUUGGCCGAGGAAUUUUAAUGGAAAACCAGAAGUGGCAGUGGCUUCCAGAAGAAACCGAGGGCUCCCUUGCUUUCUUAGAGAGAAAGAGCAAAGGCACUGUGGCGCAUCGAAAACCUGCACAACUAGAGCAUCCCUGGUUCACCAUGCUGCUCUUUCAUCAAAGAGGAAGGUCAUCAUCCUCAGAGAAGCUUCAUGCACUGAAGCAUGCUUUCCACCAGAGGAGCGGGUGGGAAACGAGUUCUUCCAAGGGAGCGUCUACCGAUACCUGGCGGGCAAGCUGAAAGUCAUCAGAAGGCCGAAUGAAUAAAUCGUUGGUGGUUCAUCUGUAUGUACAACCAUCAACUGUUGUGUGCACCUUUUUGCAGAUCCAUAUUACUUAGUCACAAUCUGUGCCAGUAACACAUAUCAGUAAC